rnacentral:rRNA from 1 species
GAUGAACGCUAGCUACAGGCUUAACACAUGCAAGUCGAGGGGUAACGAGAGGAAAGCUUGCUUUCCUUGUCGACGACCGGCGCACGGGUGAGUAACGCGUAUCCAACCUGCCCCCAACUAGGGAAUAACCUUGCGAAAGUAAGACUAAUACCCUAUAAUUUCCUCAGAUGUCAUCUGACGAGGAAUAAAGAUUUAUCGGUAGGGGAUGGGAAUACGUCUGAUUAGCUGGUUGGCGGGGUAACGGCCCAACAAGGCAACGAUCAGUAGGGGUUCUGAGAGGAAGGUCCCCCACAUUGGAACUGAGACACGGUCCAAACUCCUACGGGAGGCAGCAGUGAGGAAUAUUGGUCAAUGGGCGGAAGCCUGAACCAGCCAAGUAGCGUGCAGGAUGACGGCCCUAUGGGUUGUAAACUGCUUUUAUACAGGAAUAAAGUUAGCCACGUGUGGUUAUUUGUAGGUACUGUAUGAAUAAGGACCGGCUAAUUCCGUGCCAGCAGCCGCCGUAA